AUCUGGUUGAUCCUGCCAGUAGUCAUAUUGCUUGUUUCAGGAGAUUAGCCAUCAUGUCUAAUUACAUACCAUGAUACGGUGAAACCGCGAAUGGUUCAACAAAUCAGCUAUGGUUCCUCGGAUCGUACAUACUACAUGGACAACUGCAGUAAUUCUAGAGCUAAUACAUACCACUACGCCCUGACCCGCGAGGGAACGGGUGGAUUUAUUAGAACAGAACCAACCGGGGGCGGCUUCGGUCGUCCCUGUUACAUUCUCUGAUGACUCUGGAUAACUUCACUGAUCGCAGUCAGCCUUGUGUCGCGACGGAUCUUUCAAAUGUCUGCCCUAUCAAUUUUCGAUGGUAGGUGACCUGCCUACCAUGGUGCUAGCGGGUAACGGGGAAUCAGUGUUCGAUUCCGGAGAGGGAGCCUGAGAAACGGCUACCACUUCCAAGGAAGGCAGCAGGCACGCAAAUUACCCAAUCCCGGUAUGGGGAGGUAGUGACGAAAAACACGGAUACGGGAGUCACUAGAAGCUCCGUAAUUCGAAUGAGUACAAUUUAAAUCCUUUAACGAGGAUCAACUGGAGGGCAAGUCUCGUGCCAGCAGCCGCGGUAACUCCAGCUCCAGAAGCGUUUAUUAAAGUUGUUGCAGUUAAAAAGCUCGUAGUUGGAAUCUGAGGUCGCAUGGCUACAUGCCGUCGCUCGUGGUCUGGCCUGGUUACUGCCGGGUUUGAGCUUGCGAGUCGGUUCUCGUGGUUUUGCUCCUUUCUGCUGUGUCUGUUACAGUGUCAGCGUGACUGUGGGCUUGCCUGCUAGUCUGUUCCCAUGCUUCUCGGUGCCUUUAAUCGGGGGGUCAGAGGCGGACAUCAGUGUACUUCUGACAAAUUGUUGAGUUGCUGAUUUUGCAUUCUCUCCCUAGGGAAUAAUUGCUUUGAAUGGGGUAUGGAAAGUUGAAAACGAAAAUUAUCUCAUAAAAUUUCAGCUUCAGACCUACGUUUACGUUGACAGAACGAUGCUAUACCUUUAAAUGGACGUGUUAUUUGUAUUGUGUACUUGUUUUAUGUGUAAUGUUGCUCGUCUCUUGUCGGUCAGGAAAUUUUGAGGGUCCCAUUACUGGUGAGUAAGAAAAGCAGUAUGAUUGAAAGGUGGUCCUUCACACUUAGGAUGAUUUUGCUCCGUCUAAACAUCAUGACAAGGAUGUGGUCACCAAAAUUUGCUACGAUAAAAGUACAUCCUACCUUGCCCCGUUCAAUGAAAUGUUUGUGAAGAGUCUUUUACUUAAAAAACCUUUUUCUCAACGGGCGGAAUCCUCGUCGUUUGAAAGGCCUCUAUGCAUUUAUGAUCGUUCACAAUGCUUACCUGACACCUGUCCAUACUCGUAAAAAACACUGCAAGCAUGCGUCGAAACUGAGUAAAACUGAUUCAAAAUCCUUUUAAUGUUUACUAGUGAGGUAUACGUUUCCUUGGAGAAAUACACAGGGUGGCAAUUACCAAGCUGUAACUUUAAAAUAUCGGCAGUAUCAUCGAUGGAAUAUACAAUACAAUACAAUACAAUACUUCUAUUUCUUGGCUAAAACUCUGGAGUUAAAAUGUGCACAGCAAUUUUCGUCGCCUUUUGGAGACGACCGUGCAGUUUUGAAGACAGUUUAAAGCCCUGUGGCUUACAAUCGUGCAGCCGAUAUCCUACACGAUGGUCAUUCUUAGUGUUGUACUAGCUGCGAAAAAUUCAUGGCUGCCUCUUUGAUCACAAAGAAGAUUUAAAUACUUCUCCGACUGGGAUUGUCCUGAUGGGUGGGAAGCACGAUACUACCCACUGGCGUUGCUUGGCAAAACCAAUUAUUUGAUAGAUCUCAGAAUUCAGCUCAGUUAUUGGGCACGGAUCCGUUACACAUGAACCCUAAUUUGCGCGAUAUAAAGGGAAAUCAUCCUGACCAUAAAGCACAUGAACGGAUUUCGUUCAGAACGCAUUGAACAAACAACG
rnacentral:rRNA from 1 species